CUGGCUGAAGCAGGUGUGCAUGGCAGUGUUUGAACUCAUUUAUUCGCCCCGGGUACUUUCAGUCUCCUGCAAAAUUAUGUUGGUAACUUCCUGAGAGUUGCACUGUUCCUCGGAGUUUCUCAUCUUGCUCCUCCUGGAUGCCAGCAUUAUUGCCUUCAGUGUCCCCAGGCUGAAGUCAGCCAUCCUGCAAUACAAAUCAGAACCCGUUGAAUGGCUGCGUCUCAUUGAACAAAAGAAUGAAGAUCAGGAAAUCUUAGGACGUGGCUGUCCUAUGCCUAAUAGGCUGUGAAUUUUUCCGAGCCCAGAGCAAGGUUUAAGCAACAGAAGUG